UGGGGAAUUUUGGACAAUGGGGGAAACCCUGAUCCAGCCAUCCCGCGUGUGCGAUGAAGACCUUCGGGUUGUAAAGCACUUUUGGCAGGAAAGAAACGUCAUGGGUUAAUACCCCGUGAAACUGACGGUACCUGCAGAAUAAGCACCGGCUAACUACGUGCCAGCAGCCGCGGUAAUACGUAGGGUGCAAGCGUUAAUCGGAAUUACUGGGCGUAAAGCGUGCGCAGGCGGUUCGGAAAGAAAGAUGUGAAAUCCCAAAGCUCAACUUUGGAACUGCAUUUUUAACUACCGGGCUAGAGUGUGUCAGAGGGAGGUGGAAUUCCGCGUGUAGCAGUGAAAUGCGUAGAUAUGCGGAGGAACACCGAUGGCGAAGGCAGCCUCCUGGGAUAACACUGACGCUCAUGCACGAAAGCGUGGGGAGCAAACAGG
rnacentral:rRNA from 1 species